rnacentral:rRNA from 1 species
AUACGAAGGGGGCUAGCGUUGUUCGGAUUUACUGGGCGUAAAGCGCACGUAGGCGGAUUGAUUAGUUAGGGGUGAAAUCCCGAGGCUCAACCUCGGAACUGCCUUUAAUACUGUCAAUCUCGAGACCGGAAGAGGUGAGUGGAACUCCUAGUGUAGAGGUGGAAUUCGUAGAUAUUAGGAAGAACACCAGUGGCGAAGGCGGCUCACUGGUCCGGUACUGACGCUGAGGUGCGAAAGCGUGGGGAGCGAACAGGAUUAGAAACCCCUGUAGUCC